UACAGAGGUCCCAAGCGUUGUUCGGAUUCACUGGGCGUAAAGGGUGCGUAGGCGGUUGGGUAAGUCUGAUGUGAAAUCUCACAGCUUAACUGUGAAACUGCAUUGGAUACUAUCCGGCUAGAGGAAUGGAGGGGAGACUGGAAUACUUGGUGUAGCAGUGAAAUGCGUAGAUAUCAAGUGGAACACCAGUGGCGAAGGCGAGUCUCUGGACAUUUCCUGACGCUGAGGAGCGAAAGCGUGGGGAGCGAACAGG
rnacentral:rRNA from 1 species